rnacentral:rRNA from 1 species
GGUUCCGUAGGGAACCUGCGGAAGAUCAUUA